rnacentral:rRNA from 1 species
GAACGAUGAAGCUCUAGCUUGCUAGAGUGGAUUAGUGGCGCACGGGUGAGUAAUGCAUAGAUAACAUGCCCUUUAGUCUAGGAUAGCCAUUGGAAACGAUGAUUAAUACUGGAUACUCCUUACGAGGGAAAGUUUUUCGCUAAAGGAUUGGUCUAUGUCCUAUCAGCUUGUUGGUGAGGUAAUGGCUCACCAAGGCUAUGACGGGUAUCCGGCCUGAGAGGGUGAACGGACACACUGGAACUGAGACACGGUCCAGACUCCUACGGGAGGCAGCAGUAGGGAAUAUUGCUCAAUGGGGGAAACCCUGAAGCAGCAACGCCGCGUGGAGGAUGAAGGUUUUCGGAUUGUAAACUCCUUUUGUUAGAGAAGAUAAUGACGGUAUCUAACGAAUAAGCACCGGCUAACUCCGUGCCAGCAGCCGCGGUAAUACGGAGGGUGCAAGCGUUACUCGGAAUCACUGGGCGUAAAGAGCGCGUAGGCGGGAUAGCAAGUCAGAUGUGAAAUCCUAUGGCUUAACCAUAGAACUGCAUUUGAAACUGUUAUUCUAGAGUAUGGGAGAGGUAGGUGGAAUUCUUGGUGUAGGGGUAAAAUCCGUAGAGAUCAAGAGGAAUACUCAUUGCGAAGGCGACCUGCUAGAACAUAACUGACGCUGAUGCGCGAAAGCGUGGGGAGCAAACAGGAUUAGAUACCCUGGUAGUCCACGCCCUAAACGAUGAAUGCUAGUUGUUGUGGAGCUUGUCUCUGCAGUAAUGCAGCUAUCGCAUUAAGCAUUCCGCCUGGGGAGUACGGUCGCAAGAUUAAAACUCAAAGGAAUAGACGGGGACCCGCACAAGCGUUGGAGCAUGUGGUUUAAUUCGAAGAUACACGAAGAACCUUACCUAGGCUUGACAUUGAUAGAAUCCGCUAGAGAUAGUGGAGUGCUAGCUUGCUAGAACUUGAAAACAGGUGCUGCACGGCUGUCGUCAGCUCGUGUCGUGAGAUGUUGGGUUAAGUCCCGCAACGAGCGCAACCCUCGUCCUUAGUUGCUAACUAUUCGGUAGAGCACUCUAAGGAGACUGCCUUCGCAAGGAGGAGGAAGGUGAGGAUGACGUCAAGUCAUCAUGGCCCUUACGCCUAGGGCUACACACGUGCUACAAUGGGAAGCACAAAGAGAUGCAAUAUUGUGAAAUGGAGCAAAUCUAUAAAACUUCUCUCAGUUCGGAUUGUAGUCUGCAACUCGACUACAUGAAGCUGGAAUCGCUAGUAAUCGUAAAUCAGCUAUGUUACGGUGAAUACGUUCCCGG